AUGGCCGGCACCUCCCCUAGCCUCCUCUCCAUCACUGCCGGCGCCCUUACCACGGCUGCCGCCGGCACCCUCGCCACCAGUUCCAGCUCCUUUGCCGCGCCCAUGAUCACCUCGAUCGAAAACCUCAUCACCCUGGGUCUCACAAGAGACAACUUCCUGCUAUGGAAGACCCAGGUUGUCCCUGCUCUCGCUUCGAACGGUCUGUUCGGCUACGUCAUCGGCUCCGAGACGGCGCCACCACAGACCAUCAUGGAGGGCACCGAUGAUGCAGCCAAGGAGGUGGCCAAUCCGGCGUUCCUUCGGUGGUUCCAGCAGGACCAGCUGGUGAUGAUCGCUCUCCUCAGCUCCAUGACGGAGGACAUCCUUGGGCAGAUGACCCAGCUUCGCACGUCUGAACAGGUCUGGACCUCUCUCCAUGACAUGUUUGCCUCACAGAAUCGUGCCCGCGUCAUGCAGCUGCGCUACCAGCUCUCCAAUCUGAAGAAGAAGGACCUCACCGCCUCGGAGUACUACCGCAAGAUGCGGGGCUUUGCCGAUGCCAUGGCGUCCAUCGGCAAGCCACUCAACGAUGAAGAGGUGCUUGGCUACAUACUCGCCGGACUAGGUCCCGAGUUCGAGCCAUUGGUCGAGUCGGUCACGGCGCGCGACGACUCCAUCAGCCUCAUCAGCUUCUAUGCGCCCCUCCUCAGUGCUGAACUCCGCCACGAGCAGCAGGCCACCGUCGGCGAGAUCCACUCCUCGACCAACGCAGCCACCCGCAAUUCUGAUGGUCAUGGUCGCGGUGCUGGCCGUGGCAACCAGGGUGGACAGGGCGGCAACAACAGCAACAGUGGCAAUCGUGGCCGCGGUGGACGUGGCCGUAACAAUGGCCGCAACAACCUGAAGUGUCAGGUGUGCAGCAAGUUUGGUCAUGAUGCGCUCCACUGCCGCAACCGCUUCAACCAUGCGUUCCAGCCUAAAGAU
rnacentral:rRNA from 1 species